CCUACGGGUGGCAGCAGUGAGGAAUAUUGGUCAAUGGCCGGAAGCCUGAACCAGCCAAGCCGCGUGAAGGACGAAGGUGCCAAGCGUUGUAAACUUCUUUUGUCAAGGGACAAAAUCAGGCUCGAGAGCCUGACCGAGGGUACUUGAAGAAAAAGCAUCGGCUAACUCCGUGCCAGCAGCCGCGGUAAUACGGAGGAUGCGAGCGUUAUCCGGAUUUAUUGGGUUUAAAGGGUGCGUAGGCGGGCGGUUAAGUCAGCGGUAAAAGCCCGGGGCUCAACCCCGGCGAGCCGUUGAAACUGGCUGUCUUGAGAUGUCGAGAGGUAUGCGGAAUGCGCAGUGUAGCGGUGAAAUGCUUAGAUAUUGCGCAGAACUCCGAUUGCGAAGGCAGCAUACCGGCGGCGAUCUGACGCUGAGGCACGAAAGCGUGGGUAUCGAACAGGAUUAGAUACCCUGGUAGUC
rnacentral:rRNA from 1 species